UUGGGAUGGCAGUCAACUUAACGAAUCCUGAAAUUGCCUUUUACCAUUUCACGCCGUGAUUUGCUGCACUAAAUCCCAGAUGAAUCUUUGGACACCACCUUUUGCUUCUU
rnacentral:snRNA from 1 species